rnacentral:rRNA from 1 species
AUUGAACGCUGGCGGCAGGCCUAACACAUGCAAGUCGAGCGAGCGGCGGACGGGUGAGUAAUGUCUGGGAAACUGCCUGAUGGAGGGGGCUAACUACUGGAAACGGUAGCUAAUACCGCAUACCAUCGGAUGUGCCCAGAUGGGUUUAGCUUGUAGGUGAGGUAACGGCUCACCUAGGCGACGCUCCCUAGCUGGUCUGAGAGGAUGACCAGCCACACUGGAACUGAGACACGGUCCAGACUCCUACGGGAGGCAGCAGUGGGGAAUAUUGCACAAUGGGCGCAAGCCUGAGGCAGCCAUGCCGCGUGUAUGAAGAAGGCUUUCGGGUUGUAAAGUACUGUCAGCGGGGAGGCGUUACCCGCCGAAGAAGCACCGGCUAACUCCGUGCCAGCCGCCGCGGUAAUUC